AGUGAGAUCACGCGAUGUGCGAUAUCGCGUUGGAUUUGUUUACACUUUUUAUAUAGAUUUUAUUGUAGUACGAACACAAAAUUUGCCAGUUUUAGGGCCAUUGUACAGACAAAAAUUAAAUUUUUGUUUUGGGAUAUUCAUCUAAAAUGUGAAUUCUGGACGGAAUCUUAUAAUGUGCCAUGUGCUCCUUGCAAUGAUCGAUUACUUCCUGUAACGUAAUCUCUUCGCCUGGUUUUGGACGUACACAAGCGCACACUUCUUCACCUAAUCUUUUAUGUGGCAAACCAACAAUCUAUAAAUUAAUAAUUUAUAAUUAGUAAUCUCAAUAUGUAAAACUACUACGUAAUAAUAUUUAUUAUUUACUCA